GAAGGCUAUCAUGGGAUUUUGUCUUUUCUUCACACCAUGUGGUUUUGGAUGUCUUCCUGUUUUGUCUGACUUGGCUUUCCCCAUCAUUUUAUUUAUUUAUUACAUUUUUAUACCACCCAAUAGCCGAAGCUCUCAUAGGUAAAUUAUUUGAGGGGAAGAAUUCUGGGAUGGAAAUCUGAUACCAAUCUAUUUUUUUCCAGUUUCAAGGUAGCUGUACUUCAUUUUCCUGUAUCUCUGUGGUGGGGCCAAAUAUAUGUGAGCAGAUUUCUUUCAUCACAGUGCAUUGUAGAAUCAGAAUUGGAUAAGUCCUGUUGCCAGCUAGUACAACCCUCUGCUUAAUGCAAGACAUCCAGAGCUAGAGCAUCCCCAACAUGUGGCUGUCCAGCCUCUGCUUCAUGACCAAGCAAGGGAGAGCCUACCACUCCCCUAGCUAAUUGUUUCUGUUGUUGAACUCCUACUGUUCAGAAGUUUUGCCUAAUGUUCAACUGAAGCUUACCUUUUAUAACUUAAGCCAUUAGUUUUAUUCUUUGCCCUCUUUUAUGCAACAGCCCUUCAGUUAUUUGGAGACAGCUAUCACAUCAUCCCUCAGUCUUCUCUUCUCCAGGCUAAACAUAUCCAGUUCCUUCAACCUUUCCUUAUAGAACUUGUUUUCCAUCCUGCUGACCAUCCUUGAUGCCUUCCUCUGAACCAAUUUCAAUUUGUAUAUCCUUGAAGUGCAGUGCCCAGAGCUGGACACAGUACACCAGGGGUGGGCAAGGUUUGCAGGAUCUACUUCACUUUCUGCUAGAAUCCUGAGAACUGCCAACCAGAGCCAGUUGCAAAGUAGUGAAUCAGGGGGCUGGAUAUCAACAGCAAUUUUGAUGUGAAAAAUUAAGAAACAGGAUACCUCUCCACUCACAAUGAGCCAAGGAAUUUGUGACUGACACCACAAUCAAGCUCAAAGUCCUUUCACACAAAACCCAUUACUGCUUUUUCUUCCUCAGUUGUUCUUUUUCAGUAACUAAGUUUCAGGGGGAUAUUUUCAGUUGUGGCUAUUAAUGUACAAUUGGAAAUCAGAAACACUUGCCGAUCUACUGCAAAUCGCCAAGAGAUCUACCAGUAGAUCCUGACCUAUCUUUUGCCAACCCCUGACUUAACAUGCAGGACGUAUUCUAACAUGUGCUCUGCAACUGAAGGACCAUAAAUAGAUGCUCAGGAUCCAAACAAGCAAUACCAUCUGCUUUACUCACACAGAGAAGCUUUUAAAUCUCCCUUUCAUGUCCUCCCAAUGCUGGAGUGCUGUGAGAAGAAGUUUUUGCAUCUCCACCAUGCCCAAGAGGAAACACGUUUCACUUGUGUACAGGAAAGGGGAUGAGCUGCCCAGACGCAUCUAUAUGCAGAAAUAUAUAUUGCUUCCAAGUGAAAUUUUAAUGAUUCCAUGCUGUGGGGGCAGUUAACAUCCUGAGAAAAUGCAUGUACUUGGAUCCUUGUUUCAACUUCCAGAGAAGAUAAAAUGAAGGCAUCUAUAUAGUUGAAUUUCUCAAUAUUUCUGAGAUUAGCUAUGGAUAUCAAAGCUUCUCACUUGUCCCUCACAGGGUAUUAGCAGUAGUUUGGUUCUAAAUUUUAACUGUCCGUGCUCAAGUGAAUUUCAUUUCCUACAAUGCUGCACAAAACUUACCAUCUUCAGCUUUCUGAAAGUAACGUAAAGCCUGCAAAAUAUUAACAGUAAGAUUAGUUCAGUAUUGCUGAAGCAAUCUAAAUCCCUCUAGUACAGAAAAUACCCAACUCUGCAGGGUAAUGCUGUGCUUACUAAGAAAUGUUGUCUGUGAGAUGUUUCUUCCCCAAUAAACAUUUUUAGAAAGACAUAUUUAUUUAGAAGUAUAAUUUAAACACUGGCAUUGUAUUUUGUUAAAUAACUGCCAUGUUUUUGAUGUGAUGCUUAGUUAACAACUAAUCAGUUCCAAUAUAGCUACAUUUAUUUUUCAGAAUCUCAUGUUCUGUCUGAUCAGCAUGUUCCACUUUAUUGCACUGUAACCUUACAGUUUAAGAUGGUUAGCUCUCCAUAUCCUCCUCUUUCAAUAUUUUAAUUAUAAUACAGUAAUAAAUAAAAA